CCGGGCCCAAUCAUUGGCACCGCCCCAGCAAAUUAACGACGCAGCCUCUCUCUCUCUCUCUCUCUCUGUGAUCAUCUUCUCGCCGCCCGUCGAUCGACUCUGCAGCUGGAUACACUCUUCGAAAACCCAGAGUAGGAUGCGCGCAACAUAAGCAUGAACCAAGUGGGGAGGAUAUCAGGCGCCGCACUGGCAGAGGUCAAUAUCCUCCACAGACGCUGCUCCGCCGGACCUAAAACCCUCACCAGAACCUUCUCCCGGCAAGGAUUGAUCCGGCGAUUCCACACGCAGAGUCCUUCGCCUUCACCGUCGAUCUGGAGCAUUAUCGCUUCGAUCGCCGACAAGUGGAACUACGCGCAUACGAGAGCCAGACAAGAGCUCCGCGCCAAGGCCUCACGGUUGAAAGACGAAUUGCUCCAGACCGCCAACGACGGUGAGGCGAUUGCGAGGGUCUUGGGAGAGAAAGGUGCUUCAUUUUAUAGCAAUCACUCCUAUGGAUCUGCUUUUCUUGAGCUGCUGGUGCUGUUGCGUCCCUGGCCUCAAUUAGGCCUAGAGGUGUUUAAUUGGAGAAGGAACCAAACAGAUUUUACCAUCCCUAUGACAUCAGAGGAAUAUGCCAAGGGUAUUACAAUUGCUGGUAGAAUGAAGAAUCUUGAUCUUGCAGACGAGCUUUUUGCUGAGGCUGCUAACAAGCGAAUUAAAUCAACUUCUACUUAUAAUGCACUAAUGGGGGCUUAUAUGCUUAAUGGUUUUCCAGCUAAAUGCCAGCUGUUGUUUUGGGAUUUGAAGAGGGACGCAAGUUGUUGCCCUACAAUUGUAACAUACAACAUACUUAUUUCUGUAUUUGGUCGAUUAAUGCUGGUAGAUCACAUGGAGGCAACUUUUCGUGAGGUAAAGAAUUUAAACCUGUCUCCCAAUGUGAGUACAUAUAAUAAUUUGAUUGCUGGAUACCUCACAGCUUGGAUGUGGGAUAGUGUGGAGAAGACUUACAGGAUUCUGAAGGCUAGCAAUCUCAAGCCUGAUUUUAAUACCCACUUGCUAAUGCUUCGAGCAUAUGCACAUUCUGGUAAUUUGGGAAAGAUGGAAGAGAUGCAUGAGCUGGUAAAACAUCAUGCUCAUGAUAAUAAGUAUCCAGUAAUCAGAGCUAUGAUUUGUGCAUACUGUAAGAGCUCUGAGAGGAAUAAAGUUCACCAAAUUGAGGCUUUAUUAAGCCUUAUACCGGAAAAUGAGUAUAGGCCUUGGUUGAAUGUGUUAUUGAUUAGGGUUUAUGCACAAGAGGAUUUGUUAGAUGAAAUGGAGAAUUUUAUUAGCCAGGCAUUUGAGCAUAAUACUCAAGUAGUGACAGCUGGUAUAAUGCGUUGUAUAACUGCAAGUUAUUUCCGAAGCAAUGCAGUAGACAAACUUGCUAAUUUUGUAAAGCGUGCAGAGUAUGCUGGAUGGAGAAACUGCAGGUCUCUGUAUCACUGUAAGAUGGUCAUGUAUGCGUCGCAGAAGCGCCUGGCUGAAAUGGAGAAUGUCCUUAAUGAGAUGGAGGAUCAUAAUUUUUUUCGCACAAAAAAGACAUUUUGGAUACUGUACAAGGCCUACACAUCAUGCUGUCAAAAUUAUAAAGUUGAGCAAGUGAUGGGAUUGAUGUGCAAGCAUGGGUAUGGAAUUCCUUUGGAUACAGUUCCUUCAUAGUGCACCUUUCUGCUGGGCAUUCAGCUAAAAACUUCAAAUGGUUCACUGUAUCUGCAGGAGGAAAUAAGAUGCUUCAAGGUCAUUGAAAAGCAGGUAUGGUCUGCUAGUAACAAAGACAUGCUUAUCAUAGAAGGUAGGAAGAUCAUGGAGCUACUCAUGUCUGCUCACUGGGCUGGUAAACGAUAUCAUGCUAGAUUAUGACUGGUCAGAUGGAGCAAUGAAGCAUGUCACCCCCCAUGCAAGUGCCAUUGCCAAAAGAUUUUACCUGCACUUCGGUUUCUUGGUCUGAGAGCAGUGUCACCAUUGGUAUUGGAUGUGCGAAUUUUUGUUGUUUAGCUUCCACAUCCCUUGUGUAAUACUUUCUCUUCUGGCUUUAACAGAAUCUAGAUCUUUUCCUGGCAUGCCUCUUUCUUCUAGAAGAAAUUGCUGCUGUAGAGUUCUGGUGGACCAUGAGCCAUGACUGCCAGUGCUGAAGGCUUACAACUUGAAUGAAAUCAAUUGCUGCCGCGAAGGUAGUUGGUUUAUUUUCUACAAAAUCCCAGAUGAGUUUGAGUAUACUGUUCACAGCUUUGUAGGAUACAAUUGCAUGGAGUAUAGAUGCUCAAGUUUUCCGGAAUUUUAGAAUCAGGACGUCCAACAACCGCAAUACCAAUAUUAUUCUGGCUUGUAUCAAACAAAAAGUCCAUUUUGGAAGUAGCAGGCAAGUUUGCACGGAUCGAAUGCGAAGAAUGAACAUUAGUUAUCAGCAUGAAGGCAUAAAAUGCCUUGCGAGGUGAUCAUCUGGAAUAGUAAUGCCAAUUCCAGCAACGGCAAGAUCUGUGUUCUAGUUUUUGUAGAAUGUCGGUAGGGAAUUAUCUGUUGUUACCACUUAAUAUCUAUUUUUGUGGGUGCUGCUGUCCCAACAGAAAUGGCAGGUGGAAUUUUAGGUGGCCCAACAAUGUUACUGAGCCGGUAGCAUGCCCAGGAAGGAUCCCAUUACUUUUAAUUUAUUAAUCCUCGUCUGAUUUAUUUUCCUUCCACAAACAUAUAUGACUUGUGGAGAAUUGGAUGAUCCAAGUCGUGGAAAGGUUCCUGUAAUUAUUGUUGCAUUUUCUAUCUGAGUACUCAAAUAUAUGGAAUGGGAUUUGCUUCUUGUGUCGGGAA